rnacentral:rRNA from 1 species
GACGAACGCUGGCGGCGUGCUUAACACAUGCAAGUCGAACGGAAAGGCCCUGAGUUUGUGGGGUGCUCGAGUGGCGAACGGGUGAGUAACACGUGAGUAACCUGCCCUUGAAUUUGGGAUAAAUUCAGGAAACUGGGGCUAAUACCGGAUAGGAGCUCCUGCUGCAUGGGGGGGGUUGGAGAGUGUCGGCGGUGGGGGAUGGAUUCGCGGGUUAUGAGCUGGUUGGGGGGGUAGUGGCUUACAAGGGCUUUGAAGGGUAGCCGGCCUGAGAGGGUGGCCGGCCACAUUGGGACUGAGGUACGGCCCAGACGGCAACGGGAGGCAGUAGUGGGGAACCUUGCGCAACGGGCGGAAGUCAGAUGCGGCAACCCCGCGUGCGGAAUAACGGGUUUCGAGGUGUAAACAGAUUUCGCCGGUACCGAAGACAGCGUGACGGUAAUGAGUAAGAAAGCACCGGCUAACUACGUG